rnacentral:lncRNA from 14 species
CAGCAAGCCAGCCAGCAUCGACUCUGCAGCUCUCCCGGAUCUGAGACCCCAGGGUUACAGUGCGGGAGACCCAUGCAGGAGAAAGCAGGGUGUUACCAGUAUUAAGGCAAAGUAGACUCAUUUGACAGUCACCGAAGGGAGAUCAGUGGCCGCCAUGAAGCCAAUGAAGUUAUGACAGCAGGCCCAGGAGGAGUCGGAGC